rnacentral:rRNA from 1 species
UACGUAGGGGGCAAGCGUUGUCCGGAUUUAUUGGGCGUAAAGAGCGUGUAGGCGGCCAGGUAGGUCUGCUGUGAAAACUCGAGGCUCAACCUCGAGACGCCGAUGGAAACCAUGUGGCUAGAGUCCGGAAGAGGAGAGUGGAAUUCCUGGUGUAGCGGUGAAAUGCGCAGAUAUCAGGAAGAACACCCGUGGCUAAGGCGGCUCUCUAGUACGGUACUAACGCUGAGACGCGAAAGCGUGGGGAGCGAACAGG